rnacentral:rRNA from 1 species
AAACACAACCAAGUCGAACGAUCGGUUGGGCCCAAGUGGCGCACGGGUGAGUAACGCGGGGGAACCUCCCCUUUGGUACGGAAUAACUCCGGGAAACUGGAGCUAAUACCGUAUGUGUCCUGGGGGACAAAGAUUUAUCGCCAUGGGAUGGGCCCGCGUCGGAUUAGCUUGUUGGUGGGGUAACGGCCUACCAAGGCAACGAUCCUUAGCUGGUCUGAGAGGAUGAUCAGCCACACUGGGACUGAGACACGGCCCAGACUCCUACGGGAGGCAGCAGUGGGGAAUAUUGGACAAUGGGCGCAAGCCUGAUCCAGCAAUGCCGC